AUUGAACGCUGGCGGCAGGCCUAACACAUGCAAGUCGAGCGGAUGAAGGGAGCUUGCUCCUGGAUUCAGCGGCGGACGGGUGAGUAAUGCCUAGGAAUCUGCCUGGUAGUGGGGGAUAACGUCCGGAAACGGGCGCUAAUACCGCAUACGUCCUGAGGGAGAAAGUGGGGGAUCUUCGGACCUCACGCUAUCAGAUGAGCCUAGGUCGGAUUAGCUAGUUGGUGGGGUAAAGGCCUACCAAGGCGACGAUCCGUAACUGGUCUGAGAGGAUGAUCAGUCACACUGGAACUGAGACACGGUCCAGACUCCUACGGGAGGCAGCAGUGGGGAAUAUUGGACAAAGCGCGAAAGCCUGAUCCAGCCAUGCCGCGUGUGUGAAGAAGGUCUUCGGAUUGUAAAGCACUUUAAGUUGGGAGGAAGGGCAGUAAGUUAAUACCUUGCUGUUUUGACGUUACCAACAGAAUAAGCACCGGCUAACUUCGUG
rnacentral:rRNA from 1 species